rnacentral:rRNA from 1 species
CGGGGUGCAGCAGGCGCGAAAACUUUACAAUGCGGGAAACCGUGAUAAGGGGACACCGAGUGCCAGCAUCAUAUGCUGGCUGUCCAGGUGUGUAAAAUACACCUGUUAGCAAGGGCCGGGCAAGACCGGUGCCAGCCGCCGCGGUAACACCGGCGGCCCGAGUGGUGAUCGUGAUUAUUGGGUCUAAAGGGUCCGUAGCCGGUUUGGUCAGUCCUCCGGGAAAUCUGACGGCUCAACCGUUAGGCUUUCGGGGGAUACUGCCAGGCUUGGAACCGGGAGAGGUAAGAGGUACUACAGGGGUAGGAGUGAAAUCUUGUAAUCCCUGUGAGACCACCUGUGGCGAAGGCGUCUUACCAGAACGGGUUCGACGGUGAGGGACGAAAGCUGGGGGCACGAACCGGAUUAGAUACCCGGGUAGUCCCAGCCGUAAACGAUGCUCGCUAGGUGUCAGGCAUGGCGUGACCGUGUCUGGUGCCGCAGGGAAGCCGUGAAGCGAGCCACCUGGGAAGUACGGCCGCAAGGCUGAAACUUAAAGGAAUUGGCGGGGGAGCACAAGGGCGAAUCGC